AACGUAGGUGGCAAGCGUUAUCCGGAUUUACUGGGCGUAAAGGGUGUGCAGGCGGGGCUGUAAGGGGUGUAUGAAAUCUCCAGGCUUAACCUGGAGGGGUUAUGCCAGACUGCAGUUCUAGAGGGCGAGAGAGGGGGGUGGAAUUCCUGGUGUAGCGGUGAAAUGCGCAGAUAUCAGGAAGAACACCCGUGGCGAAGGCGGCUCUCUGGGACGGUACUGACGCUGAGACGCGAAAGCGUGGGGAGCGAACAGG
rnacentral:rRNA from 1 species